rfam:Trichomalopsis sarcophagae strain Alberta scaffold636, whole genome shotgun sequence.
CAAUCGGCCCUUUUCAGGGCCCCAAAAAUAUUUAACAAGGAACAAU